ACGCUGGCGGCAGGCCUAACACAUGCAAGUCGAGCGGUAGAGAGAAGCUUGCUUCUCUUGAGAGCGGCGGACGGGUGAGUAAUGCCUAGGAAUCUGCCUGGUAGUGGGGGAUAACGUCCGGAAACGGACGCUAAUACCGCAUACGUCCUACGGGAGAAAGCAGGGGACCUUCGGGCCUUGCGCUAUCAGAUGAGCCUAGGUCGGAUUAGCUAGUUGGUGGGGUAAUGGCUCACCAAGGCGACGAUCCGUAACUGGUCUGAGAGGAUGAUCAGUCACACUGGAACUGAGACACGGUCCAGACUCCUACGGGAGGCAGCAGUGGGGAAUAUUGGACAAUGGGCGAAAGCCUGAUCCGGCCAUGCCGCGUGUGUGAAGAAGGUCUUCGGAUUGUAAAGCACUUUAAGUUGGGAGGAAGGGCAGUUACUUAAUACGUGAUUGUUUUGACGUUACCGACAGAAUAAGCACCGGCUAACUCUGUGCCAGCAGCCGCGGUAAUACAGAGGGUGCAAGCGUUAAUCGGAAUUACUGGGCGUAAAGCGCGCGUAGGUGGUUCGUUAAGUUGGAUGUGAAAUCCCCGGGCUCAACCUGGGAACUGCAUUCAAAACUGACGAGCUAGAGUAUGGUAGAGGGUGGUGGAAUUUCCUGUGUAGCGGUGAAAUGCGUAGAUAUAGGAAGGAACACCAGUGGCGAAGGCGACCACCUGGACUGAUACUGACACUGAGGUGCGAAAGCGUGGGGAGCAAAC
rnacentral:rRNA from 1 species